GCAGCGGCUGCGGCUUAGUCGGUGGCGGCCGGCGGCGGCUGCGGGCUGAGCGGCGAGUUUCCGAUUUAAAGCUGAGCUGCGAGGAAAAUGGCGGCGGGAGGAUCAAAAUACUUGCUGGAUGGUGGACUCAGAGACCAAUAAAAAUAAACUGCUUGAACAUCCUUUGACUGGUUAGCCAGGUAAUUCAGCUUUAGUUUGAUUUGAUCCUUUGUAAUUUUUUGUCUUCAACCUUCUGAAGAUAUUACCCUCCUCUUUAAUUUAUGAUUUAAUUAAAACUAUUUAUGCUUCAUGUUUUUCUCUUUAAUGAUUAUUAAAUGAAUGUGCUUAGAGUACUUGAGUGAAUACGUAUGUGUAUGUACAGUUGGCCCUUGAACAACUGAGGACUGGGGACACUGACCCCUUGUUCAGUAAAAAAUGUGCAGAACUUUCGACUCCCCCCAAACUUAACUACUAAUAACCUCCUCUUGCCUAGAAGCCUCACUGUUAAUAUAAACAGCUGAUUAACACAUAUUUUGUAUGUUACAUAUAUUAUAUCCUGUAUUCUUACAAUAAAGUAAGCUAGAGAAAAUAAAAUGUUAUUAAGAAAAUUAUGGCCAAGUGCAGUGACUCAUGUUUAUAAUCCUAGCACUUUGAGAGGCUGAGGUGGUUAGAUCACCUGAGUCCAGGAGUUUGAGAACAGUCUGGGCAACAGAGCGAAACCCCAUCUCUACAGAGAAUGCAAAAACUAGCCAGACAUAGUGGCCUGUGCCUUAGUCCCUAGCACUAGAGACACUGAGGUGGGAGGAUUGCCUGUGCCCAUGAGGUUGAGGCUGCGCCUCAGCUGUGAUUGUGCCACUGCACUCUAGCCUGGGCAACAGAAUGAAACCCUGUCUCC
rnacentral:lncRNA from 1 species